rnacentral:lncRNA from 1 species
ACUCUAGGCAUUCCUGGCAGAGGAUACAGCAGGAGCAAAGGCCUGGAGGCUAAAAAUAGCUUGCGGGCAGGGGAGCUACCAGCAGUUCAGUGCUUCUGGAGUUUAAAGAGCCCGGCGAGGGUCAUGUCAGAUGACGCCGGUCCACGAGAAGGAGGGUGGAUUAUAUCCUUAGAGACGCCAUAGAGUGAGGAUAUAAUGGCUCUGUAACAAGCAUAAACUGUGAUGGUCUGGGAUGCCCUCGUCAUAGACAGCCCCUGGAGAGUCAUAAUGUUUAUCGAUGAGAAAACAGAAAUUUGAAGAGGCAAAGCAAGUUGCCCAAGGCCAAGGGAGAAGGUCAGCGUGAACUGCUACCGCCAUGUUGAAGUUCAUCUUCUCUUCACUGCGAGAAGCUGCCUGGACACCAGGGUGGAGGAGCUGUCAGGGCCCUCACUGUGGAAGGAAGGUCCACAGAAAACAUCCUGGGGUCCUGAGCUGAAGUGUGAUGGGAGGAGUCCUCUGUAUCUCAGUCUGAUCCUGGUCUCCCUCUCGGCCAUGGUCUCACACUAGUGCUGCUGGGAAACCAUCCCUCACAUCCAGUCCUGGCAUCGGGCAGUGACUCUGGUCCAACUGUUGUCCAACUCAAGGGUUUAGCUGCUUAGAUUUUCCUAAAACUUGAAUUUCAUUUUCCUCUAGCCAUGGAAUACAGAUUAAUCCUUUACAAUUAAAAUCCAAGUUCAGAUUUUAUUUGUUGUGGUUUUUAAUUAAAAUCUCACCAGCACUUUGUGGAUUUUUUUUUUCUUAGAAAGGCAAACACACUGUGCGUAUCAGUCAGCCUGGACUGCCAUCACAAAAUACCAUAGACUGUGUGUCUUAAAACAACAGAAAUGUAUUUUCUCACAGUUCUGGAGGCUGGAAGUUCAAGGUCAAUGUUCUGGAUGAUUUGGUUUCCAGUGAGGCCUCUCUUUCUUGCUUGCAGAUGGCUGCCAUUCUUCUGUGUCCUGUAGGGAAGUUCAAACUUUUCCUCUGAAGGUUUGAACAAACUGACAAUAUGCAGACUAAUAGGAGGAAGAAAGGCAUUCAAAGUUGCUAAUGUGCAUAAGCACAAGGCCACAGAAAAUAUGAGAUUCAAAG